rnacentral:rRNA from 1 species
AGGGAAACCGAGUCUUAAUUGGGCGUUAAGUUGCAGGGUAUAGACCCGAAACCCGGUGAUCUAGCCAUGGGCAGGUUGAAGGUUGGGUAACACUAACUGGAGGACCGAACCGACUAAUGUUGAAAAAUUAGCGGAUGACCUGUGGCUGGGGGUGAAAGGCCAAUCAAACCGGGAGAUAGCUGGUUCUCCCCGAAAGCUAUUUAGGUAGCGCCUCGUGAACUCAUCUCCGGGGGUAGAGCACUGUUUCGGCUAGGGGGCCAUCCCGGCUUACCAACCCGAUGCAAACUGCGAAUACCGGAGAAUGUUAUCACGGGAGACACACGGCGGGUGCUAACGUCCGUCGUGAAGAGGGAAACAACCCAGACCGCCAGCUAAGGUCCCAAAGUCAUGGUUAAGUGGGAAACGAUGUGGGAAGGCCCAGACAGCCAGGAUGUUGGCUUAGAAGCAGCCAUCAUUUAAAGAAAGCGUAAUAGCUCACUGGUCGAGUCGGCCUGCGCGGAAGAUGUAACGGGGCUAAACCAUGCACCGAAGCUGCGGCAGCGAACGUAUCACUUAAAGCGAUUCAGCGGGUUACGAUUGACGGAGCGAAGCGACGUCAAAGCGUAUACAAAGUCGAGUCGGUUUAAGGAUACGUUCGUUGGGUAGGGGAGCGUUCUGUAAGCCUGUGAAGGUGGCCUGUGAGGGUUGCUGGAGGUAUCAGAAGUGCGAAUGCUGACAUAAGUAACGAUAAAGCGGGUGAAAAGCCCGCUCGCCGGAAGACCAAGGGUUCCUGUCCAACGUUAAUCGGGGCAGGGUGAGUCGACCCCUAAGGCGAGGCCGAAAGGCGUAGUCGAUGGGAAACGGGUUAAUAUUCCCGUACUUGGUGUUACUGCGAAGGGGGGACGGAGAAGGCUAUGUUGGCCGGGCGACGGUUGUCCCGGUUUAAGCGUGUAGGUGUGUGUUCCAGGUAAAUCCGGUUCACUUUAACACUGAGGCGUGACGACGAGGCACUACGGUGCUGAAGCAACAAAUGCCCUGCUUCCAGGAAAAGCCUCUAAGCAUCAGGUAACAUCAAAUCGUACCCCAAACCGACACAGGUGGUCAGGUAGAGAAUACCAAGGCGCUUGAGAGAACUCGGGUGAAGGAACUAGGCAAAAUGGUGCCGUAACUUCGGGAGAAGGCACGCUGACACGUAGGUGAAGUGAUUUACUCAUGGAGCUGAAGUCAGUCGAAGAUACCAGCUGGCUGCAACUGUUUAUUAAAAACACAGCACUGUGCAAACACGAAAGUGGACGUAUACGGUGUGACGCCUGCCCGGUGCCGGAAGGUUAAUUGAUGGGGUCAGCGCAAGCGAAGCUCCUGAUCGAAGCCCCGGUAAACGGCGGCCGUAACUAUAACGGUCCUAAGGUAGCGAAAUUCCUUGUCGGGUAAGUUCCGACCUGCACGAAUGGCGUAAUGAUGGCCAGGCUGUCUCCACCCGAGACUCAGUGAAAUUGAACUCGCUGUGAAGAUGCAGUGUACCCGCGGCAAGACGGAAAGACCCCGUGAACCUUUACUAUAGCUUGACACUGAACAUUGAGCCUUGAUGUGUAGGAUAGGUGGGAGGCUUUGAAGUGUGGACGCCAGUCUGCAUGGAGCCGACCUUGAAAUACCACCCUUUAAUGUUUGAUGUUCUAACGUGGACCCGUUACCCGGGUUGCGGACAGUGUCUGGUGGGUAGUUUGACUGGGGCGGUCUCCUCCUAAAGAGUAACGGAGGAGCACGAAGGUUGGCUAAUCCUGGUCGGACAUCAGGAGGUUAGUGCAAUGGCAUAAGCCAGCUUGACUGCGAGCGUGACGGCGCGAGCAGGUGCGAAAGCAGGUCAUAGUGAUCCGGUGGUUCUGAAUGGAAGGGCCAUCGCUCAACGGAUAAAAGGUACUCCGGGGAUAACAGGCUGAUACCGCCCAAGAGUUCAUAUCGACGGCGGUGUUUGGCACCUCGAUGUCGGCUCAUCACAUCCUGGGGCUGAAGUAGGUCCCAAGGGUAUGGCUGUUCGCCAUUUAAAGUGGUACGCGAGCUGGGUUUAGAACGUCGUGAGACAGUUCGGUCCCUAUCUGCCGUGGGCGCUGGAGAACUGAGGGGGGCUGCUCCUAGUACGAGAGGACCGGAGUGGACGCAUCACUGGUGUUCGGGUUGUCAUGCCAAUGGCACUGCCCGGUAGCUAAAUGCGGAAGAGAUAAGUGCUGAAAGCAUCUAAGCACGAAACUUGCCCCGAGAUGAGUUCUCCCUGAGACUUAGAGUCUCCUGAAGGAACGUUGAAGACGACGACGUUGAUAGGCCGGGUGUGUAAGCGCAGCGAUGCGUUGAGCUAACCGGUACUAAUGAACCGUGAGGCUUAACCUUACAACGCCGAAG